AUUGAACGCUGGCGGCAGGCCUAACACAUGCAAGUCGAACGAGUGGCGGACGGGUGAGUAAUGUCUGGGCAACUGCCCGAUGGAGGGGGAUCCCUACUGGAAACGGUAGCUAAUCCCGCAUACCAUCGGAUGUGCCCAGAGGGGAUUAGCUAGUAGGUGGGGUAAAGGCUCACCUGGGCGACGGUCCCUAGCUGGUCUGGGAGGAUGACCAGCCACACUGGAACUGAGACACGGUCCAGAUGCCUACGGAAGGCAGCAGUGGGGAAGAUUGCACAAUGGGCGGAAGCCUGAUGCAGCCAUGCCGCGUGUAUGAAGAAGGCCUUGGGGUUGUAAAGUACUUUCAGCGAGUAGUCGUUACUCGCAGAAGAAGCACCGGCUAACUCCGUGCCAGCAGCCGCGGUAAUUC
rnacentral:rRNA from 1 species